UCCGAGUUGACCCCGGCAGUCUCCUAUGAGUCCCCGGCUUGAACCGCUGGCAACAUAGGACAAGGGUUGCGCUCGUUGCGGGACUUAACCCAACAUCUCACGACACGAGCUGACGACAGCCAUGCACCACCUGUGCACGAGCCCCGAAGGGCUGCCGUGUUUCCACGACAUUCCCGUGCAUGUCAAGCCUUGGUAAGAUUCUUCGCGUCGCGUCGAAUUAAACAACAUGCUCCGCUGCUUGUGCAGGCCCCCGUCAAUUCCUUUGAGUUUUAGCCUUGCGGCCGUACUCCCCAGGCGGGGUACUUACUGCGUUAGCGACGGCACCGGGAGGGUCGCUCCCCCCGACGCCUAGUGCCCAUCGUUUACGGCGUGGACUAC
rnacentral:misc_RNA from 1 species